CUUGUUGCCCAGGCUGUGCAAUGGCACAACCUCAGCUCACUGCAACCUCUGCCUCCUGGGUUCAAGCGAUUCUCCUGCCUCAGCCUCCCCAGUAGCUGGGAUUGCAGGCAUGCACCACCUCUCCUGGCUAAUUUUGUAUUUUUGGUAGAGCAGGGUUUCUCCAUGUUGGUCAGGCUGGUCUUGAACUCCCAACCUCAAGUGAUCCACCUGCCUCGGCCUCCCAAAGUGCUGGGAUUACAGGCGUGAGCCACCGCUCCCAGCCGGCAUGAGGGAUUUAAUCCAGUGCUUGGUUUCUCCAGCAUCUUGUUCUGAUCUCUUAGCAACCAGGCAGCAGCUGUUUACUGAGAGCCUGCCACCAAUGUGACCAUGGACUAGGUACUCUCAGGGGCCGGGAAACACUGUGUCCUGCAGCCCUUACUGCUGUGAGUCCUGGGAGAGGCAGGAGCUAUUAAAGACCACAGGGAGUCUGCUUCUUUGCAGUGCCUGAGAAUGCUUUCUGGGGAAAGGAGGAGUUGUGCGAGAUGGGACAUGAUGAUGGGUUUUGAGAUGAUUCUUUCAUUCUGAGCACAGCCUAUACAGAAGUGUCUAGCAGUACCCUGUAAAAUAUGGAUGUACUUUGGACCCAUAGAUUUCAGCUUCGACAUUUCAACCAAAUUUCUUAGACAUCAGAAGAGGCAUUUCAACAUAAUUCUAUGGUCAGGUCCUAUAUGAGUCGUUGGAGAGAGCAUUCAAAGAAUCUUCUGGGGCAUUUGCAGGGGACUAAGAUGGCAGAUAGCAGGCAGGACUAGCUUGCAGCCCCUGCUCGGAUGGACAGAGCAAUGUGUGGAGACUCACACUGUGAACUUUGUCUCCAAGACUACACAGGAACAUAUCAGGAAAACCUAGAGAAUCCGCAGAGCCUUUGAAGAAACUGGGUCACCAUUACAGGCUCCCUGAGAUACCAAAAAACUGUGAGCCCGCUUGCUUUCUCAACAGGGAGUCUCGUGGUCUGGGGCAAGUUCUCAGCCCUGGUCACCGGCUGCCAGGAAAUAGAUUCAGUUCUGUUGGUGGGGCACUGUGGGAGUGAGACUAGCUGGACGGAGAAUGACUUUGACAAGCUGAGAGAAGAAGGCUUCAGAAGAUCAAAUUACUCCGAGCUACGGGAUGAAAUUCAAACCAAAGGCAAAGAAGUUGAAAACUUUGAAAAAAAUUUAGAAGAAUGUAUAACUAGAAUAACCAAUACAGAGAAGUGCUUAAAGGAGCUGAUGGAGCUGAAAACCAAGGCUCGAGAACUACGUGAAGAAUGCAGAAGCCUCAGGAGCCGAUGCAAUCAACUGGAAGAAAGGGUAUCAGCGAUGGAAGAUGAAAUGAAUGAAAUGAAGCGAGAAGGGAAGUUUAGAGAAAAAAGAAUAAAAAGAAACGAACAAAGCCUCCAAGAAAUAUGGGACUAUGUGAAAAGACCAAAUCUACGUCUGAUUGGUAUACCUGAAAGUGACGGGGA
rnacentral:lncRNA from 1 species